GACCGGCGCACGGGUGAGUAACGCGUAUGCAACCUACCCUGUACAGGGGGAUAGCCCGGAGAAAUUCGGAUUAAUACCCCAUAAAGAUAUUUAGAGGCAUCUUUGGAUAUUUAAAGUUUCGGCGGUACGGGAUGGGCAUGCGUAACAUUAGCUGGUUGGUAGGGUAACGGCCUACCAAGGCAACGAUGUUUAGGGGUCCUGAGAGGGUGAUCCCCCACACUGGUACUGAGACACGGACCAGACUCCUACGGGAGGCAGCAGUGAGGAAUAUUGGUCAAUGGGCGCAAGCCUGAACCAGCCAUCCCGCGUGGAGGAAGAAGGCGCUAUGCGUUGUAAACUUCUUUUUCGGAGGAAUAAAAUUUCGUACGUGUACGGGACUGAAGGUACUCCGGGAAUAAGCAUCGGCUAACUCCGUGCAGCAGCCGCGGUAAUACGGAGGAUGCAAGCGUUAUCCGGAUUUAUUGGGUUUAAAGGGUGCGUAGGGGACUAAUAAGUCAGUGGUGAAAACCUUCAGCUUAACUGGAGACUUGCCAUUGAUACUGUCAGCUUGAGUAUGGUUAAGGUAGGCGGAAUGUGUAAUGUACCGGUGAAAUGCUUAGAUAUUACACGAACACCGAUUGCGAAGGCAGCUUACUGAGCCAUAACUGACGCUGAUGCACGAAAGCGUGGGGAGCGAACAGGAUUAGAUACCCUGGUAGUCCACGCCGUAAACGAUGAUCACUCGCUGUUGGCGAUACACAGUCACGGCUAAGAAAAGCAUUAAGUGAUCCACCUGGGGAGUACGGCCGCAAGGCUGAAACUCAAAGGAAUUGACGGGGGCCCGCACAAGCGGAGGAACAUGUGGUUUAAUUCGAUGAUACGCGAGGAACCUUACCUGGGCUUAAAUGUUGAGUGCAUGGGGUAGAAAUAUCCCUUUCCUUCGGGACUCUUUGCAAGGUGCUGCAUGGUUGUCGUCAGCUCGUGCCGUGAGGUGUCGGGUUAAGUCCCAUAACGAGCGCAACCCUUAUCGUUAGUUGCCAGCGGGUAAUGCCGGGAACUCUAACGAAACUGCCGGUGUAAACCGUGAGGAAGGUGGGGA
rnacentral:rRNA from 1 species